rnacentral:SRP_RNA from 1 species
GCCAGGUGUGGUGUGGUGGCGUGCGCCCGUAGUCCCAGCUACACGGGAGGCUGAGGUGGGAGGAUCGCUUGAGCCUAGCAACUCUGGGCUGUCGUGCACCAUGCCCAUCAGGUGUUCCCCUAAGUUCAGCAUCGAUAUGGUGACCUCCUAGAAGUGGGGGACCACCAGGUUGCCUAAGGAGGAGUGAACCCGCCCAGGUUGGAAACAGAACUGGUCAAAACUCCUGCCGCUAUUUCACCCUGGAGCACAGAGCAAGAUGGGCCUUCCUCUAAGUGGAACCCCUCA